UUACCCAAUCCAGACUUUGGGAGGUAGUGACGAGAAAUACCGGAGUAGACCUUUAAUUGGUUCACUAUCGGAAUGAACGUAAUCUAAUACCUUCGAUGAGUAGCUACUGGAGGGCAAGUCUGGUGCCAGCAGCCGCGGUAAUUCCAGCUCCAGUAGUGUAUAUCAAAAUUGUUGCGGUUAAAACGCUCGUAGUUGAAUUACAAAAGCUCUUUGGUAGCCAAAUAAAUGUUUGGUCACUGUGGGGUUUUUUUAUCGCGAGAGCCACACGUGGGAUUAAAUUCUUGUGGGUGGUCACUUGCGAGGUGUGCCUUGAAUAAAGCACAGUGCUCAAAGCAGGCGAUUGCUUGAAUGUUAUAGCAUGGAACGAUUAUGUUGAUCUUGUCGACUGUUGGUUGUUGACAUUGGUCUCGAUUAAAAGGGACAUUUGAGGGCGUUAGUACUUGGUGGCGAGGGGUGAAAUCCUUAGACCCAUCAAAGACUCACUAAUGCGAAAGCAUUCGCCAAGAGUGUUUUCAUUAAUCAAGAACGAAAGUUGGAGGUUCGAAGACGAUCAGAUACCGUCCUAGUUCCAUACAGUAAACUAUGCCAACAUGGGAUUAGCCCGGUUUAAUCCAGGUUGGGCCCUCAGUGAAAAUAAGUGUUUCGGUUCUGGGGAGAGUGCGCACGCAAGUGCUAAAUUUAAAGAAAUUGACGGAAUGGCACCACCAGGAGUGGAGCCUGCGGCUUAAUUUGAUUCAACACGGGGAAACUCACCAGGUCCAGACAUUGGUAGGAUUGACAGACUGAGAGAUCUUUCAUGAUUUGAUGAUUGGUGGUGCAUGGCCGUUCUUAGUUC
rnacentral:rRNA from 1 species